AGCUCCAAUAGCGUAUAUUAAAGUUGUUGCAGUUAAAAAGCUCGUAGUUGGAUUUCUGUUUUUAGUUACCGGUCCGCUCAUGUAUUUGAGUGUGUACUAUGGUUACUAAAUUCAUUUUUUGUAAGGAGGUUCUACUGGCAUUAAGUUGUCCGGUGGUACGUACUUGCAUCUUUUACUGUGAAAAAAUUAGAGUGUUUAAAGCAGGCGUUCGCUUUAUUUGAAUACAUUAGCAUGGAAUAAUAAGAUACGACUUGUGUGGUCUAUUUUGUUGGUUUGCACACGCGAGUAAUGAUUAAUAGGGACAGUUGGGGGUAUUCAUAUUUCAGCGUCAGAGGUGAAAUUCUUGGAUCGCUGAAAGAUGAGCUUAGGCGAAAGCAUUUACCAUGGAUGUUUUCAUUAA
rnacentral:rRNA from 1 species